rnacentral:tRNA from 1 species
UGGCGGGUAGCUCAGAGGUAGAGCGCUAAACAUCCUUUUUCUGCAAAGGCCGACGAAUUAGGGUUAUCGAAUAGGGUUCGAGAGGUCGCAGGUUCAAGUCCUGCUCCGCCAC